rnacentral:rRNA from 1 species
GUGUCAGCAGCCGCGGUAAAACGUAGGAGGCGAGCGUUAUCCGGAUUUACUGGGCGUAAAGCGUACGCAGGUGGCUGUGUAAGUCGGACAUGAAAGCUCCUGGCUUAACUGGGAGAGGUGGUUCGAAACUGCAUAGCUUGAGGUUGGGAGAGGGACGUGGAAUUCCCGGUGUAGUGGUGGAAUGCGUAGAUAUCGGGAGGAACACCAGUGGCGCAAGCGGCGUCCUGGCCCACACCUGACGCUGAGGUACGAAAGCGUGGGUAGCAAACAGGAUUAGAUACCCUGGUAGUCCACGCUGUAAACGAUGUCAACUAGGUGUCGGCAGUUUUACACUGGCGGUGCCGAAGCCAACGCGUUAAGUUGACCGCCUGGGGACUACGGCCGCAAGGCUAAA